GCAACGACAAGGAAGGGAAGAGUAGUUUAUACGAACCUUAUAGAGAGCUCUCGGCUGGUGGAAGAGAGCAGGCAGAAGAUAAAUGAAGAUGGUCCUGGAGUCGCAUGAGUGAAUGUUUUGAGCUUGUGCCGGAUGCAUCCGUUAACGUGCUAGAGUAUGAUGGUACUCGAUGAGGUCAAUAUCGUGAGGUAUUGAUGAAGAUAGGUGGUAACACGAAGUUUUUACUUUCGUCCUAUGU
rnacentral:ncRNA from 1 species